AUCCCACAAUGCCCAGCGUCUGCCAGCUGCAGCCCCUCUUUCUCUCCCACAAUUACCUGACCUCUGUCCUGCAGCCCCAAGAGGUACGAGGCUGCACCCCUGGCAGGGCCGGCGAGCACGUCGAAGUGCACAUAAUAAGGCUGACGUCAGCAGGGUCUGGAAUCUGUGGGUGAGCCGCUGGAUCCAUCUUGCAGAAGAAACGCACUGCUUGUUGGGCGUGUGAGAACACAGAAAGUUAGUAAAAAUUAAAUCAUCUCUCACCAGGAGGACCACAGACAAUACAGACCGUAUGCCAUUACGGGUUAUUCUUCCACUCUCCGUAUUUAUGUUCUUUGUAUUUUUUUUUCCUCUAGAUGUCUUGUGUGUGGUAUUUAACUUGAGUGCGUGACUCCUUCCCACCCGCCUCCUGUCAGCUCGCUGCAGGUGGAGGUGCCUGUCUCGGUGCUGCCCCCUACAGCCAACGCCGGCUGGUACGAGCUGGUGUUGAUCCUCAGCAGCGCAGUCCCUGUGAACUGGGCCCUGAGUGCCAGCGGCCUGCAGGGUCACAUCUCUGUCUAUUCCUCCAACACAGUGUCUCCACUUUACCCUUCAGAGCCUGAUCUGACCAUGACCAGCACGCUUAACCCAAACCUCCACGUGACCCGUGACCUGGUGGCCUGGGCCAAGCAGCAGGGCUUCCCUGCGGCGACCUCGUACACGGAGGCCGACCUGGCCAAUCGCUUUGUGAUCCGGCUGGCGAGGGCAGAACCAGGUCAGAACCAGGUCAGAAAACACGGCUGCCCGCGAGUCGUAGGUUGUGAGGUCUGCACGGCGCAACGCUUCUCGCUUCUCUUGGUGUACAGGCCGUGUUCCCUCCAUGCACUCCCUGGCUGCAUGGUCUGGGGCAGGGCAAGGGUGGGGGCAGGACAGCAGGCUGAGGCAAUGGCUGAGACAACAAGGGAGUACCGCGUACGCCGGGGUUGCGGUCAGCGAGGCAGCGAGCGCACAGUGUCACGACGGGCAGCUCAGCGUGGCCGUCGACGCCGGUGUCCUGCAGCUUCUGCCUUCUGCGGUAUCCGGCGUAACGCUGCGUGACCCCCGAUGCCAGGCGCAGUUCAACGGCACCCACUUCCUGUUGGUGUUCCCAGUGAUUUCCUGUGGGACAGACAUUGUGCUAGAGGGACAGCCGAGAGGGGUGCGGUACAAAAACAUGGUGCUGGUAUGGAAGGAGAGGUCCUUGGACCCAGACCACAAAGACCACAAUGGGAAAGGAGAGGAGCAAAUCCCACUGAUUAUACAGAUCAGCUGUUUUGCUUUGGUGCCCCGCCCCUCCAGCAGCCCCCUAGGGCUGCGGCCCCCACCUCAGGGAGCCAGGGGCCUUUGGGCCCAGCAAGGGGCAAGAGGACCAGGUGUAUUGGAUGGCCCGACAUCAACGCCGCUCCUGUCCCUGCAGCUCUUUGUGACAGAGGCUUACAAGCAGAGGGAGACGGGACCCUGUGUCAUCGCCGCCAAGAGUCGGCUCUACGUGGAGGUAUCUGCAAAGGGCACUGUGACCGGGGCUGUUGAGGUCUGGUCCUGUGUGGUUUCACCCCUGUCAGACCCCCAGGCAGCUCCAGGCUGGACAGUCAUCCAGGAUGGCUGUUCUUAUGACCCCACGUUGACACUGAUUACAAUGCGCCAAAACAGAGAGAGAGGGGGGAGGAACAAUGGCACAAGCACCCACAGCAGUGAGAGGACACAGGAAGCCGAGCUGGAUGUAGCAGGACGCGGGACGAGAGACAAGGGUGAAAGAGAGCCAGCGGGCACGGGAAAUAAGGAAAGGCGAAGAAAGACGAGAAAGAAAGGAGGCAAAGCAGAGGAGGUAGAAGAUCCGGAAAAGGGGGCGGAGGGGGGAGAAGAGAUGGCCCGACCUCCUCGGCGCCUACGGUUCAGUUUCGUGUUGCGGCCUGUCUAUAACAACUCCAUUCAGUUCCUGCACUGCAGGCUCCGGCACUGCGAUGCAGACUCCGCCCCCACCUCCAACAGCACUCCUCCCCCACCCACUGGAGCCGCUCCACUCACUGGCUGCCAAGAAGGCCUUCGCAUCCCAGCCCUCAUUUCUCCACCCAACCCCAGCUACAAAAAGUGCUACUACAGGACUCUGUUCAGACCCAUGGUGGUGACUGAGCCUGUGGCAGUGUCCCGUUCCCUUGUACCUUCUGCUGGUCAGACUGCCUUCAGGCCCAGAAUGAUGUCGCAUUCUAAGCCAAGUCCUCAAGGUGGCGGUCCUGGAUUUGACACCGGCUCCGUGGUGGGGAUUGUAUUUGCCGCUUUCUUGAUGGGAAUCAGUGUUAUGGGGGCCCUCUGGUGCAUCUACAGCCACACAGGGAUCGCUGGGAUGGCUCCGGUUCCGAGAAGAAGCAGCCCGAUGGACACCGCAGAGCAAACGUCAACCUCUAACAGCCCCGUAUUGCUGGAACAGUCCAGCAGCACGGUGUAGAGGGAAAAAAGGAGGGAAAGGAACAGAAGACGCAACAUCUCAGUUUGAGAGUGUGUGAGAGAGCGAGUGCGUGACCGAGUGAGGGAGGAAGAUGACGUGGUCGCCGUUAGUUGUUUAACCUCUGCCUCCAGCAUGUUCAUCUCCCUCCCAAGUGUGAAAGCCCAUGUUUAGAAUGCAGCUAUGGUAGUAAGUUACAAGCUAUUGCUCAAACUUGCCUGACAGCUGGAGACUCUGGAAGAAGGUGAAUAAACCCAAGAGUACUGCACA
ensembl:lncRNA